GGUUUUGUAGUGUAAUUAACAUUUUGGAUUGCAAAUCUAUAGAUACGGUAGAAUGGACUCCGUCAAAACUU
rnacentral:tRNA from 1 species